CCUCCUCCCCCCUCCCCGCUCCCUCCCAUGGCGAACCCCGUCGCCUCCCCUCCCCGACCUUCCCGCCCCGCUGCCUCAACCCCCCCACCACCACGGCCUCCACCACCAAUCCGCCAUGCCGCCCUCGCUCCCCCUGCCGCCGCCACCUCCAUCGCCAUCUCCCUCUCCCUCCCUCUCCCCGAUCUCUGACCCAGCCACCACCCAUGGCGCCAGCCAGAGCAGCCACCAGCUAUGGCGACGGCGAAGCUAGAGGCUGUCGGAUCCGGGAUCAGGGCGGCGCAUAGCCCCUCCUCCCGUGAGAUCCUCUGCAUCGAGCAGCUCCUCCGCCCGCUGCACUGUCUCCCCAUCCGGAUCGAGCAGUUCCUCUUCGCCCGCUCUACCGACCCCCUCCAUCAGCCGUCGCUAUGCAGUACACUUCCACCGCUUCCGCCGCCUCCCAAGUCGUCGUCCUCCCGAUCCCCUCCCCUCCCCUUCCUCUGCUCCGGACACACCGUCUCCGUCGAGCCGGGCGCCCCAUCCACCUCUACGGGCGUCGGCGGCAUUGGUGUAUGAGCAUACAUGCGGAUCAUGGCCGGCACCAUCCUCGGCAGCGGCCACGGCUUCUACGUCAUGCACCGCAUCGAGACCUCCUACAAGGCAAGGAUGGAGGAGAGGCUGUGUCGAUGGCAAGCUGGAGUGCCUCUACCAUGGCUGGCAGUUCGAUGGCCAGGGCAAGUGCGUCAAGAUCCCACAGGUUAAUGGAGCAAUGAUGUGGUGGUAUAACAUAUCUGUGGCGGUUCUUCAAGCAGCUCUGCAAGUGGAGGAUCGCGUCCAGGGUAGAGGGAUCACAAGGACUGACAAGAUGCAGGGAAUGUGCCAACUUCCUUUGGCAAAAUCUUGCUACCUUGCCAUAGAUGGCUACUACCUUAUAGCCCAGUAUUCUACUGCUUUCUUCUAUAAUUUGUCACCCUCCACUUCCUUAGGCAAAAUUGAAAAUUAAGUUGCAGCAUUAAUUAGGUACUGCUAUAGUCUUUUUUAGACAUUUCUGCCUCCUUUUUCCCCUGUUUGCGCGAAAGAUCAUGUGUCCUUUCCAUUUGGAGUCUAUGUACGAAACACCAAUUAUCCAGUCCAUUUUUCACAAAAAGAUUAGUGUUCUUAUUUAGUCCUGAUGUUUUGGUUUAUGGAGUUGUUGAUUAUUUGGUCAGAUUUCCUUAGUUGCUUUGUGCAUGAGAAUAAGCUGAUAAGAACAGAACAUUGAUACUUUGCAUGCUAUUAGUAAAAUGAUUUAUUUUCUUUUGUCACCUUGUAUGAAUGAGUACCUCAUUUUAACUAGCUGGAGAACGAAGCAUUGUCAUAGCUGAAUUUGUGUUAUCAUUCUAAUGAACUUGUUCGUUUUCUGAAUGAAAUGUUCAUAAUAUAUUGGCUCCACAUUUUGACCUUACCUUCCAUUCCCUUCCCUGAUGUGCAGGAGCAGUUGCACGGCUGCAACAUCACCAACUCGACUCGGAUGCAGGGAGAGGAGACGCCUAGCUGCGGGGAAGCUGCAACUCUAGGUUAAGGCCUCCCUCUGCAUCUCCUUGUUUUGGUUUACUAGGCUUGGUCCCUGAUUUAGUGCUGCUCCAAAUUUGCUUACAUGCUUGAUUUCAUUGUUUGCCAAUUAAGUUGCUUGCUUGAUGCCCCAAAAUUCAGUAGAAUUUUGUUUAUCAAUUGGUUUGGUUGGAUUUCUCCCAAGUUAACUGAAGUUGUUACAAAAUAGGUGGUUGUUGUCCAAUUUGUUCAGUAGAAUAAAAAUUGAUGGUUGGCAUGUUUUGUUUGCUAUCUUUCAUCUCACCUUGUGUUGUCAAAGUUUAUCUUCUCUUGUCAAGGUUUUCACUGUGGUAACUAUUAAUUUGGAAGAUAAAGUGAUGGCCAAUUAUAUGUAUAUAUCCACACAACAAAUAUACCGUGUUGUAUUAUGCUUAUGCUACUUGUAUCACCAGUGUUUUCUAACUCUAGCACCUAUGUAUUUCUUUACUGUCUUGCCUAACCCUGUAUUGAUAUGUAUGUUUGCUCAAAAUUAAGUACAAGUUAGGCCGCCAUGUUAAGGCUAACCUGAGAACACUUACUCUCUCUCUCUCUAUAUAUAUAUAUAUCUUUAUUAAGCUCGGCUAACCUUAUAGAUGUUGUCCUUCUUUCAUCUGCAGGACAAUAUCAUGCAUAUGUUUAUUUGGUUUGAUCUUUGUAUGUGUUUAUUCAGUUUGAACUCUACAUGACAUGAACGCACGGAUGCAACGGUGGCAAGAAGAUCAUGGCUGUGUGCAUCAUCAAGCACACCAUGGCGAUAAUUCACCUCCUCACAGAUGCUAACUCAAUCCAAAUCAUCGUGAUGCUAUCAUCCUUAGUCCUGACAAGAGUAGGUGCCUACUUUGUGAUUGUUAUCGAAGGAGCUCCAUGCUGAAGAACAUAGCUUGUAACUGUAUCUAGUUGUUACACAUGUGGAGCUUGUAACUGUGAUUGCCAUACUUGUAGAGCUUGUAGCUAGUUAUUACACUUGUAGAGCUUCUGGAGAAUGUUUGGAGUAUCACGUGCAGAGCUUGUAUAUGUUAGAGCUUAUUAUGUGUAGAGCUUGUAAAGUAUAUGUUAUUUGUACAAUAGGAGCUCUAUUGAAUCUGGCUGAUAAUAUUUGGAGUAUUA